GCACUAAUUUGUACACGAGACUGGAUAUUUAUUUGUUUCUUUUUAUCAUCAUCUAAAGUCUUAUUUGGGCAGUUAGCUAUAACUAUUGUUUUAUUUGGCUUGUAUAUUUUCAUGUUUACAGGACUUCCCAACCCAUUGAACAUGAAACUUCACUGCAAUCAAUGGUACCAUGAUAUGAAGAGUCCUAAUUUACACGACUUCUAUAUCUUCUACAUGGGAAAGGGACUUACUCUUCUUGGGCUUCUUAAUUUCAAAUUGGUUUUGAUUAUGUUUUUCAGUUAGGUAUUGUUUUGAUUUUGAUUUUGGAUUUGCAGGUAUUCCAACUAGCGGCCCAUCCACCCUUCCCAGCAUCUGAUAAGGGUUGGGGUAAAGAAUUAGGCCAAGUACAAUCCUAAUAUACUAUUUUGGAGUCUAUUUAUUUGGCUACUUGAAUUUGUAAUAUUUUCAUUGUAUCUGGAGAUUGUAUUUUUUUUUU